rnacentral:rRNA from 1 species
GACGAACGCUGGCGGCGUGCUUAACACAUGCAAGUCGAACGGAAAGGCCUCUUUCGGGGGGUACUCGGAUGGCGAACGAGCGGGUAACAAGUGAGUAACCUGCCCGUCACGUUGGGAUAAAUUACGGAAAGUAGGGCUAGUAACGGCUAGAUGACCCUGCUGCAUGGUUGGGGUUUGAUAGUUUCGGCGGUUGGGGAUGGAAUAGCGGCUUAUCAGCUUGUUGGUGGGGGAGUGGCUUGCCAAGGCUUUGACGGGUCGCCGGCCUGAGAGGGUGACCGGCCACAUUGGGACUGAGAUACGGCCCAGACUCCUACGGGAGGCAGCAGUGGCGAAUAUUGCACAAUGGGUGGAAGCCUGAUGCAGAAACUCCGGGUGCGGGAUGACGGCCUUUGGGUUGUAAACCGCUUUCGCUCAUGACGAAGCUUUGUGUGACGGUAGUGGAUAAAGAAGCACCGGCUAACUACGUG